GACGAACGCUGGCGGCGUGCUUAACACAUGCAAGUCGAACGAUGAAGAAGAGACACGCGAACUUCGGUUCAAAUUUCACUUCGGAUUAGUGGCAGACGGGUGAGUAACGCGUGAGCAACCUACCUCUUACAAAGGGAUAGCCUCGGGAAACCGUGAUUAAUACCAUAUGACACAUUCAUAAGGCAUCUUAAGACUGUUAAAGCUACGGCGGUAAGAGAUGGGCUCGCGUCCCAUUAGCUAGUUGGUGAGGUAACGGCCCACCAAGGCGACGAUGGGUAACCGGCCUGAGAGGGUGAACGGUCACAUUGGAACUGAGACACGGUCCAAACUCCUACGGGAGGCAGCAGUGGGGAAUAUUGCACAAUGGAGGGAACUCUGAUGCAGCGACGCCGCGUGAGCGAUGAAGGAAUUCGUGUCGUAAAGCUCUGUUCUAUGGGAAGAAAAGGACUGUACCAUAGGAGAAAGCCCCGGCUAAAUACGUG
rnacentral:rRNA from 1 species